GAUGAAGAACGCAGCGAAAUGCGAUACGUAAUGUGAAUUGCAGAAUUCAGUGAAUCAUCGAGUCUUUGAACGCACAUUGCGCCCCCUGGUAUUCCGGGGGGCAUGCCUGUCCGAGCGUCAUUGCUGCCCUCAAGCACGGCUUGUGUGUUGGGUCUCCGUCCUCCUCCCGGGGGACGGGCCCGAAAGGCAGCGGCGGCACCGCGUCCGGUCCUCGAGCGUAUGGGGCUUCGUCACCCGCUCUUGUAGGCCCGGCCGGCGCUUGCCGACACAUCAAUCUUUUUUCCAGGUUGACCUCGGAUCAGGUAGGGAUACCCGCUGAACUUAAGCAUAUCAAUAAGCGGAGG
rnacentral:misc_RNA from 1 species